rnacentral:rRNA from 1 species
CAGUAGCCGCGGUAAUACGGAGGGGGCUAGCGUUGUUCGGAAUUACUGGGCGUAAAGCGCACGUAGGCGGCUUUACAAGUCAGAGGUGAAAGCCUGGUACUCAACACCAGAAUUGCCUUUGAGACUGUAUCGCUUGAACGUCGGAGAGGUGAGUGGAAUUCCGAGUGUAGAGGUGAAAUUCGUAGAUAUUCGGAAGAACACCAGUGGCGAAGGCGGCUCACUGGACGACUGUUGACGCUGAGGUGCGAAAGCGUGGGGAGCAAACAGGAUUAGAUACCCCAGUAGUCCCUGUCUCUUCUAC